UCCACCGUCGAUUCGUCGAAGUGUCGAACUCCACGGCGCCGCCUCCGGCGACUCCCUCCGCCCCUCCCACCGGAAAACGCGACCUCGCCGAGUCUGUUUGCCGUCUACGCCUGACGCCUCCUCCGCCGAAUUAAGGAACAAGAGAUAAAAGUGCAUCUUUUAGGAUUCAAGCGUGUUGAUCUGAAAUUUGUUUGAAGUGAAGCUAUUCAAAUUUCAAGCGUUCAUCAUGCUUCCUAGAAAGUAUAGUUCUGGAUAUGAAAAAAGAAAAAAGAAACAAAAAUUGGAAAAAUUGGAAAAGUCUCAAGCAGGAGCGCUAGAUAAGUUUUUUAGUAGUAGACAUACAGAGCAUGAUAACGAAGAACAUAAUAAUGAAGAAAAUCAAAAUGAAGAACAGAAAAAUGAUAUGAAUAUUGAAGAACCUACUGAACACAAUAUGAAUAUUGAAGAACCUGCAGAAGAUGAUAGAAACAUUGAGGAACCUACUCAACUUAGGAUUGAGAGUGUCAAUGAAAACAUGAAUGUUGACGAUCCAGCAAAUUGGGGUAAUAUUGAUCAAAAAUUGAGAGAUCUUUUAGUAGAAAGAGGACCCAAAAGAGUUGUUAUUGAUUUUCCUAAAGAUAUUGAAGGCAGACAUUUCUCUUCCACUCAUUACACUCGACAAUGGUUAAAUGGAGAGAAACAUGAUAGGAGAUGGCUAAUAUAUUCAACUUCUUUGAAUGUGGUAUUUUGCUUUUGUUGCAAAUUAUUUAGAAAAGAUGGAAACAAGAAUCAAAUGGGUUCUUUGGUUAAUGAAGGAUUUAAAAAUUGGAAGAAUCUUAGUCAUAGACUUCAAAGUCAUGAAGGG